AACGAACGCUGGCGGCAUGCCUAACACAUGCAAGUCGAACGAGACCUUCGGGUCUAGUGGCGCAUGGGUGCGUAACGCGUGGGAACCUGCCCUUAGGUUCGGAAUAACUCCCCGAAAGGGGUGCUAAUACCGGAUAAUGUCUUCGGACCAAAGAUUUAUCGCCUUUGGAUGGGCUCGCGUUGGAUUAGCUAGUUGGUAGGGUAAAAGCCUACCACGGCGACGUUCCAUAGCUGGUCUGAGAGGAUGAUCAGCCACACUGGGACUGAGACACGGCCCAGACUCCUACGGGAGGCAGCAGUGGGGAAUAUUGGACAAUGGGCGAAAGCCUGAUCCAGCAAUGCCGCGUGAGUGAUGAAGGCCUUAGGGUUGUAAAGCUCUUUUACCCGGGAUGAUAAUGACAGUACCGGGAGAAUAAGCUCCGGCUAACUCCGUG
rnacentral:rRNA from 1 species